rnacentral:rRNA from 1 species
GACGAACGCUGGCGGCGUGCCUAAUACAUGCAAGUAGAACGCUGAAGAGAGGAGCUUGCUCUUCUUGGAUGAGUUGCGAACGGGUAAGUAACGCGUAGGUAACCUGCCUGGUAGCGGGGGAUAACUAUUGGAAACGAUAGCUAAUACCGCAUAAAAUGGAUUAUCGCAUGAUAAUCCAUUGAAAGGUGCAAAUGCAUCACUACCAGAUGGACCUGCGUUGUAUUAGCUAGUUGGUGGGGUAACGGCUCACCAAGGCGACGAUACAUAGCCGACCUGAGAGGGUGAUCGGCCACACUGGGACUGAGACACGGCCCAGACUCCUACGGGAGGCAGCAGUAGGGAAUCUUCGGCAAUGGACGGAAGUCUGACCGAGCAACGCCGCGUGAGUGAAGAAGGUUUUCGGAUCGUAAAGCUCUGUUGUAAGAGAAGAACGAGUGUGAGAGUGGAAAGUUCACACUGUGACGGUAUCUUACCAGAAAGGGACGGCUAACUACGUG